UACGGAGGGUGCAAGCGUUGUUCGGAAUUACUGGGCGUAAAGCGCGCGUAGGCGGUCUGUUAAGUCAGAUGUGAAAGCCCAUGGCUCAACCAUGGACGUGCAUUUGAUACUGGCAGACUUGAGUAUUGGAGGGGGUGGUGGAAUUCCCGGUGUAGAGGUGAAAUUCGUAGAUAUCGGGAGGAAUACCGGUGGCGAAGGCGACCACCUGGCCAAAUACUGACGCUGAGGUGCGAAAGCGUGGGGAGCAAACAGG
rnacentral:misc_RNA from 1 species